CUCCUGAUACCGUUCCUGGUACUGGGGCUCUAACUCCAAAAGCCAUGUGUGCAGGGGCAGAAAGAUUAACAGGGGUGCCAACAGCUGAAACAAGGGGCCCUCCUAUUGGCUGCCCUAUGGAUGGUGGACCAUAUACACCAACUCCUGCUCCUGGGGGUCCAGCAGGAUGUUGAGGUGGUUGUUUGGCCGCUUUGCCAGUAGACCCUCCUGCAGCAGAACCAUUUGUUUGACCAGUUAUUGGUCCUUGUGGUGCUGAAAUGUCUCCAUUGCCAACACUGGUGAUGUCAUGUAUGCUAGAUCGCCUCCUAUCUUUGUUCAUUGAGUUCAAACGAAUGAAAUACUUUUGCGCAUGGCUAGCCACUUGUGUAGGUGUUCUUGUCACAACAAAGUUUCUUGAAAUACUUCGCCAAUCACCUUUCCCAUACUUGUCCAAACCAAGAAGAAAUAACCUGUGCUCAUCCUCAGUCCAAGCAAUUCCUUUACGACGUUCUUGAUCUGACCGAGACGCCUUAUUUCCAUGAGCAGACUCACUGUUAUGAUGUCCCAAGUGGCCACCCUUCUUACUAGUUCCUUCAU
rnacentral:misc_RNA from 1 species